UGUCCCUUUUAAAGAAGACACAAAAUUUCCAAAAUAAAGACAACAAACCUAGGUUACUCUGGUGAUAGAUCUCUGAAGGCUGAUCACAUUCGAACUUUGUACAAAAUUAAAAAAUACAACGAGCAGAUUUUAUCAAAUCACUCUCGGUAAAAAAAUAUUAUUAUCCUUCAUUGUAGAACUUUAAGUUAGCUUUUCAAUCGACGUUUGAUGCCUUUCCCAAUAUUUUCUAAAAAUUGCUUUCAAAAAACUUUUUCUUUUGUUGGAAGGAACCUGUUUUAUUAUAUUUCCCAAUCUUUGAGUUUUGCAUACUACGUAGCCAGAAUCACAUUGGCACGUGAACUCAUCAAUGACUGAAUUCUUUCGGUUGAUAGAAACACAAUAAUUCUAAAUGGAAGAAAGAGCUUUUCUCGUAUUGUAAACAAUACGAGUAUUGACAUUAAAUCAAGCUUCAUAAUGUCUAAAAACGUUUGAAUUUCAUACCACCAAAAAUUGUUUAAAAUAAUUAAAACGCCCAACCACCCUCAUAAAUUAAGUCUC